rnacentral:rRNA from 1 species
GACGAACGCUGGCGGCGUGCUUAACACAUGCAAGUCGAACGGAGUGGCGAACGGGUGAGUAACACGCGGGUUAACUGCCUUGCACUUCGGGAUAAGCUAGGGAAACUGGGUCUAAUACCGCAUAUUGAAAGAUGAGCGCGCGGCCUAUCAGAUUGUUGGUGUGGUAAUGGCCUACCAAGGCGUCGACGGGUGGCCGGACUGAGAGGGUGUAAGGCCACAGUGGGACUUAGAUACGGCCCGGACUCCUACGGGAGGCAGCAGUGGGGAAUAUUGCACAAUGGGCGGAGGCCUGAUGCAGCGACGCCGCGUGGGGGAUGAAUGCCUUCGGGUUGUAAACUCCUUUCGACAGGGACGCGGUACCUGUAUAGGAAGCACCGGCUAACUACGUGCCAGCAGCCGCGGUAAUUC